GCCUGAAUAGCUCAGUUAGUUAGAACGUGGUACUGAUAAUGCUAAGGUUGCAGGUUCAGUCCCUGUAUAGGACA